ACAGACUGGGUGAUGUCAGGCGCACUGCCGUAACCAGAAACGGCAGGGAAGUCCGGUGCAAGUCCGGCGCAGCCCCCGCUACUGUAAGGUUGACAAACCCCGAUAAUGCCACUGGGAAACUGGGAAGGCCGGGGUACGGUUGAUGCCAAGCCAGGAGACCCGCCUGAACACCUGAACGGGA
rnacentral:ncRNA from 2 species